rnacentral:tRNA from 1 species
GGGCGCAUGGGUUGGGCGUUUUUGCCACGGUCUUGAAAACCGUCGAUGGGCAACUAUCCUAGAGUUCGAAUCUCUACGCUUCCGCCA